CCUACGGGGCGCAUCAGUGAGGAAUAUUGGUCAAUGGGAGAGAUCCUGAACCAGCCAAGCCGCGUGAGGGAAGACGGCCCUAUGGGUUGUAAACCUCUUUUGUCGGAGAACAAAACCCGGGACGUGUCCCGGACUGCGUGUAUCCGAAGAAAAAGCAUCGGCUAACUCCGUGCCAGCAGCCGCGGUAAUACGGAGGACGCGAGCGUUAUCCGGAUUUAUUGGGUUUAAAGGGUGCGUAGGUGGAGGUGCAAGUCAGCGGUCAAAUUGCGGGGCUCAACCCCGUACUGCCGUUGAAACUGCAUCCC
rnacentral:rRNA from 1 species